rnacentral:misc_RNA from 1 species
GAGAGCCAAGAGAUCCGUUGCUGAAAGUUUUAUUUUAUUUAUGCUCAAUAAAGAGACUGUUAUACAUUCUUAAAACUGAAGAGUUAAAAAGGUGUAAAAAGUGUAGUGUGUGCACAGUGUAGAAAGGAAAAUGAUUUGGUCGGACCUCUAAAAAGAGCAUCCUUACAUUUCAUUAAUGAUCCUU